rnacentral:lncRNA from 10 species
CCAGGCUGGAAUGCAGUGGUACAAUCAUGGUUCACUGCAGCCUUGACCUUCCAGCCUCAGGUGAUCUUCCCACCUCAGCUUCCUGAGUAGCUAGAAAUGCAGGUGCACUCCACUAUGCCUGGAUAAUUUUUUGUAGAGUAGGGGUUUCACAAUAUUGUCCAGGCUGAUCUUGAACUCCUGGACUCAAGCAAUCCUCCUGCCUCAGCCUCUCAAAGUGCUGGGAUUACAGGCAUGAGCUACCGUGCCCGACCACCAAUUCUUUGAUGGCCACGAUUUCCUCUCAUUCCAUUGUGCAUGCAACUUUGCAAUGUGAUUUUGCUGCUUUUUCCAUCCAAAGGUGGAGCUCUUUCUCCACUCUCUUGAAUCUGGUCUUGCUUUAUGAUUUGCUUUUUGACCCACUGAAUGUGGUGGAAAUAAUGUUGCACAAGUCCCACUGCAUAGGCUUUAAGUGGCUUUCAAGCUUUUGUCUGCCACCUUCUAAGAACACUACCCCAAGAUUGCCAUGUAAAGAAGCCAGACUAGCUUACUGAAGGAUGGGGGACCAUGUGGAGGGGAACAGAGAUGCCCCAGCUGACAGCUAGCACCAGCUGCCAGACCUAUGAUUUGAGCCUCCAGGUGAAGGUGGCUGUGUAAGUGAACCUAGAUGAGACCAACAGAGUAAGCAGCCAACUCAUAUACUCAUGAGAAAUAGUAAUAAGUCAACAUUUUAAGCUAUUAGAUUUGGGGGUGACUUGUUUUGUAGCAAAAGUUAACAUAUCUAUGCUCCAGUGUGGUGGUAAGGUGGGUAAAUCACUUUAGGGAAAAAAUGGAACAUUAAAGUACUUGAUGUUGAAUAGACAUAUCUGACUCUAAAGCCUGUUUUAACCAUUAUCGUGACUUCCCAUAAAAAGCAUCUCUAGGCCAACGCAGUAGCUCACACCUGUAUUCCCAACGCUCUGGAAGGC